AUGGCAGCCAAGUCUUCACAGACCAUGACAAUCCCCACCGACGCUGAGCUGGUCCAGGCGCCGGCGGACCUUUGGCGCCACUGCCUCAGCUACCUCACACCAAUGGCGUUCAGUUGCGCCAUCCAGCUCGGCAUCCCUACCGCGAUCCAUCGUCUUGGCGGUGCCGCGUCGUUGCCGGACCUGGUCACCGCGCUGUCCCUCCCGCCAUCCAAGGCGCCGUUCCUCAGCCGCCUCCUGCGGCUGCUUUCCACGACGGGGGUGCUGGCGUCAAACGAGGCUGGGAUCUACAGACUCGUCCCACUGUCCUACCUCCUCGUGGAUGGUGUACGCAUCGACGGUGAUGCUAGUCAGAUGGCUCUUGUGCUCGCCGUGACCUCCCGGCACUACAUGGAGGCGGCCAUGGGGCUGGCCGACUGGUUCAAGAAGGAUAUCGCACCGCCCGUGCCGUCACCAUUCGAGGAAGUGCACGGCGCGGCACUCUUCGAGGAGAGUAUGGCGGUCCUUGACCCAGAGUGUGACAAGUUGUUCAAUGAAGCUUUAGCUGCCCAUGACCAUAUGGGAAUUGGUACAAUAUUGCGGGAAUGUCAUGGCCUAUUCAGUGGCUUGCAGUCGCUCACAGACUGUUGUGGUGGUGAUGGAACGACAGUCAGGUCCAUCGUUAAGGCCUACCCGCAUAUAAAGUGCGAUGUGUUGGACCUUCCAAAGGUGGUUGAUAAAGCUCCAAGCGAUGGUCUCGUUAACUAUGUCGCCGGUGACAUGUUCCAUUCCAUCCCACCUGCUCAAGCUGUAAUGCUCAAGCUUGUUCUACACUUCUGGGGUGAUGAGGACUGCAUCAAUAUCCUAGCCCAAUGCAAGAAGGCCAUUCCUUCCCGAGAAGCAGGAGGAAAAGUGAUUAUCAUAGACAUUGUGGUUGACUCUUCUUCAGGACAGAUGUUCGAAACCCAACUGCUGAUGGAUAUGGCAAUGAUGGUAUAUACCAGGGGACGACAGCGGGAUGAAAAUGAAUGGAGUUCCAUCUUUGCGAAAGCAGGGUUUAGUGACUACAAAAUUGUCAAGAAACUUGGAGCUCGGGGUGUCAUCGAGGUCUACCCAUAA
rnacentral:rRNA from 1 species